UGCCAUGAAUGCCUAAACUACCAUUG
rnacentral:piRNA from 1 species